rnacentral:rRNA from 1 species
GUGGAAUUCUCAGAUUUGUUAAAGACUAACUUAUGCGAAAGCAUUUGCCAAGGAUGUUUUCAUUAAUCAAGAACGAAAGU